UUUAUUAUUAUUAUUACUAUUUUUUGAGUAGGAAUCUCACUGUGUUGCUCAGGAUGGAGUGCAGUGGCACACU
rnacentral:snoRNA from 1 species